UACGUAGGGGGCAAGCGUUGUCCGGAAUUAUUGGGCGUAAAGAGCGUGUAGGCGGUCCGGUAAGUCGGCUGUGAAAGUCCAGGGCUCAACCCUGGGAUGCCGGUCGAUACUGCCGGACUAGAGUUCGGAAGAGGCGAGUGGAAUUCCCGGUGUAGCGGUGAAAUGCGCAGAUAUCAGGAGGAACACCGGUGGCGAAGGCGGAUCUCUGGGCCUUACCUGACGCUCAGGUGCGAAAGCGUGGGGAGCGAACAGG
rnacentral:rRNA from 1 species